AGUGAACGCUGGCGGUAGGCCUAACACAUGCAAGUCGAACGGCAGCACAGUAAGAGCUUGCUCUUACGGGUGGCGAGUGGCGGACGGGUGAGGAAUACAUCGGAAUCUACUUUUUCGUGGGGGAUAACGUAGGGAAACUUACGCUAAUACCGCAUACGACCUACGGGUGAAAGCAGGGGAUCUUCGGACCUUGCGCGAUUGAAUGAGCCGAUGUCGGAUUAGCUAGUUGGCGGGGUAAAGGCCCGCCAAGGCGACGAUCCGUAGCUGGUCUGAGAGGAUGAUCAGCCACACUGGAAAUGAGACACGGGCCAGACUCAUACGGGAGGCAGCAGUGGGGAAUAUUGGAAAAUGGGCGCAAGCCUGAUCCAGCCAUACCGCGGGGGGGAAGAAGGCCUUCGGGUUGUAAAGCCCUUUUGUUGGGAAAGAAAAGCAGCAGGUUAAAACCCCGCUGUUCUGACGGUACCAAAAGAAAAAGCACCGGCUAACUUCGU
rnacentral:rRNA from 1 species